UCCGCCCAGCCGGGGUCGGUGGCCGCAUGGCUUCGGUCUCCUCUGCGACCUUCUCGGGCCACGGGGCUCGGUCCCUACUGCAAUUCCUGCGGCUGGUAGGGCAGCUCAAGAGAGUCCCACGGACUGGCUGGGUAUACAGAAAUGUCCAGAGGCCGGAGAGCGUUUCAGAUCACAUGUACCGGAUGGCAGUUAUGGCUAUGGUGAUCAAAGAUGACCGUCUUAACAAAGACCGGAAGCUAUGAAGCAGAUAACCCAGCUCCUACCAGAGGACCUCAGAAAGGAGCUCUAUGAACUUUGGGAAGAGUACGAGACCCAAUCUAGUGCAGAAGCCAAAUUUGUGAAGCAGCUAGACCAAUGUGAGAUGAUUCUUCAAGCAUCUGAAUAUGAAGACCUUGAACACAAACCUGGGAGACUGCAAGACUUCUAUGAUUCCACAGCAGGUACUCAACACCAUUUUCAACAAGAGUCCAUUUUAGUUUGGCUUACUCGGUGUAGUGACUAAUGUUACUAUUAGGGAAACCCACUGUUGGUACCUUCAUCUGACCCUUUCAUGUGGAGCAUCUAAAAAGAAAGGGAAGGAAACAUUC
rnacentral:sRNA from 1 species